rnacentral:rRNA from 1 species
GAUGAACGCUGGCGGCGUGCCUAAUACAUGCAAGUCGAGCGAAUGGAUUGAGAGCUUGCUCUCAAGAAGUUAGCGGCGGACGGGUGAGUAACACGUGGGUAACCUGCCCAUAAGACUGGGAUAACUCCGGGAAACCGGGGCUAAUACCGGAUAAUAUUUUGAACUGCAUGGUUCGAAAUUGAAAGGCGGCUUCGGCUGUCACUUAUGGAUGGACCCGCGUCGCAUUAGCUAGUUGGUGAGGUAACGGCUCACCAAGGCAACGAUGCGUAGCCGACCUGAGAGGGUGAUCGGCCACACUGGGACUGAGACACGGCCCAGACUCCUACGGGAGGCAGCAGUAGGGAAUCUUCCGCAAUGGACGAAAGUCUGACGGAGCAACGCCGCGUGAGUGAUGAAGGCUUUCGGGUCGUAAAACUCUGUUGUUAGGGAAGAACAAGUGCUAGUUGAAUAAGCUGGCACCUUGACGGUACCUAACCAGAAAGCCACGGCUAACUACGUGCCAGCAGCCGCCGCUGUAA